rnacentral:rRNA from 1 species
ACCCAUGUGAACUUACCUUUUGUUGCCUCGGCAGAAGUUAUAGGAUCUCUUAUAGCUGCUGCCGGUGGACCAUUAAACUCUUGUUAUUUUAUGUAAUCUGAGCGUCUUAUUUUAAUAAGUCAAAACUUUCAACAACGGAUCUCUUGGUUCUGGCAUCGAUGAAGAACGCAGCGAAAUGCGAUAAGUAAUGUGAAUUGCAGAAUUCAGUGAAUCAUCGAAUCUUUGAACGCACAUUGCGCCCAUUAGUAUUCUAGUGGGCAUGCCUGUUCGAGCGUCAUUUCAACCCUUAAGCCUAGCUUAGUGUUGGGAAUCUACUUCUCUUAGGAGUUGUAGUUCCUGAAAUACAACGGCGGAUUUGUAGUAUCCUCUGAGCGUAGUAAUCUUUUUCUCGCUUUUGUUAGGUGCUAUAACUCCCAGCCGCUAAACCCCCAAUUUUUUGUGGUUGACCUCGGAUCAGGUAGGAAUACCCGCUGAACUUAAGCAUAUCAAUAAGCGGAG